AAGGUUUUAGCUUAAUUAAAGUAUCUGUUUUGCAUACAGAAGAUAUGGGCUAGUGUCCUGUAAAUCUUA
rnacentral:tRNA from 1 species